ACACACCGUCCGUCACACUAUGGGAGCUGGCCAUGCCUGAAGUCGUUACCUUAACCACAAGGAGGGGGAUGCCGAAGGCAAGGCUUGGUGACUGGAGUGAAGUCGUAACAAGGUAGCCGUACUGGAAGGUGCGGCUGGAUCACCUCCUUUUCAGG
rnacentral:rRNA from 1 species